rnacentral:rRNA from 1 species
CCUACGGGCGGCAGCAGUGGGGAAUAUUGGACAAUGGGGGCAACCCUGAUCCAGCCAUGCCGCGUGUGUGAAGAAGGCCCUCGGGUUGUAAAGCACUUUCAGUGAGGAAGAACGCCUGGUGGUUAAUACCCAUCAGGAAAGACAUCACUCACAGAAGAAGCACCGGCUAACUCCGUGCCAGCAGCCGCGGUAAUACGGAGGGUGCGAGCGUUAAUCGGAAUUACUGGGCGUAAAGCGCGCGUAGGUGGCUUGAUAAGCCGGUUGUGAAAGCCCCGGGCUCAACCUGGGAACGGCAUCCGGAACUGUCAAGCUAGAGUGCAGGAGAGGAAGGUAGAAUUCCCGGUGUAGCGGUGAAAUGCGUAGAGAUCGGGAGGAAUACCAGUGGCGAAGGCGGCCUUCUGGCCUGACACUGACACUGAGGUGCGAAAGCGUGGGUAGCAAACAGGAUUAGAUACCCCGGUAGUC